GAUGAACGCUGACAGAAUGCUUAACACAUGCAAGUCUACUUGAACUUCGGUUUGGGUGGCGGACGGGUGAGUAACGCGUAAAGAACUUGCCUCACAGAUAGGGACAACAUUUGGAAACGAAUGCUAAUACCUGAUAUUAUGAUUUUAGGGCAUCCUAGAAUUAUGAAAGCUAUAUGCACUGUGAGAGAGCUUUGCGUCCCAUUAGCUAGUUGGAGAGGUAACGGCUCACCAAGGCGAUGAUGGGUAGCCGGCCUGAGAGGGUGAUCGGCCACAAGGGGACUGAGACACGGCCCUUACUCCUACGGGAGGCAGCAGUGGGGAAUAUUGGACAAUGGACCAAGAGUCUGAUCCAGCAAUUCUGUGUGCACGAUGAAGUUUUUCGGAAUGUAAAGUGCCUUCAGUUGGGAAGAAAAAAAUGACGGUACCAACAGAAGAAGUGACGGCUAAAUACGUG
rnacentral:rRNA from 1 species